CUAAGGUUACAGAGGAGGAUUGCAUUCAGAUGUUCUCAUGUUCUCCGAUACGACCCUGUCAUCCACAGAAUUAAAGUAGUUACACUUUCCUGUGAGUCUUAGUAAAGAUCUAUAGUAAGCAUCAAGCAGAAAAGAAGAUUGUUUUUUCAACAAUUCAGGGGCUGAUUGACAGUGGAGUGAUUGGCGAUGUCAUCCACAUUCAACAUCUGGAACCGGUGGGGUUCUAUAAUUUUGCUCACUCCUUUGUCAGAGGAAACUGGAGAAACGAGGCGGAAAGCUCUUUUGCUCUGCUAAGCUUAUGCUGACAUGAUUUGGAUCUGAUUCAUCACUGGGCUGGUGGAUGAAGGUAGUGAACAUGGAAUUUGAAGGAGGCUUGACUGUUGCUUUCACCAUAGUAGCAUUUAUAGAGGAAAUAUGUGAACGCAAAACAUCUAUCCAUGGUAGUAAGGUGGGACAUCAUGUUCAUUUGUGUCAACAUUUCAGCUCUUUGAUGACCAUAAAGGGGUUUAUCAUCAUUUGCUCAUUCUCUCACUAUGGGGAACUGUCCUACAAUGGAUAUGAGAUCAAAGUGUUCGACUUUCUUACUAAUAAGACCACAAAACACACCGCAAAUAUGAGAGUUCCAGGUAACUUUAGUAAAGGCUGUUAUGGGUCUGCAGAUUAUCACCUUAUCAACUCCUUCAUUGCAGCUGUGAAUGUGAAACGAUGGAUCUGGAAGAUAGUUUUCUCUAUUUGCUGAAUAAUCUGAGUAAUUUCGUCACUACCUCUUCUCUUUUCUUCAAUAUAGCAUAAGGACCCAACUCUGAUUAGGUCUAGUCCUAAGGAGACAUUAGCCAGUUAUAAACUAGUGUUUGUGGCUGAACGUUCCCGUUUGGAAAACAGAGUUGUUUUCUGUGAGGACCUGCAGAAUGGAGGAAGCAGAUGAAUAAAAAAAUUGACUUGUCUAUGGAUUAACUGGAUAUCACCAUGAAUAUAGCCCUAGAUGCUGGAAUGGCGAAGAAAGUCAUGUCUUUUUAUUCAGAUGAAUUAUAAAACAAUAAAUGUUCAAUCACAUUUCUUGUGUUUAAUGUAACUUAAAGAUGUGUACCCAUGUAAUCAAAUGAAUUAUGUGGAAUUAUUAAUUAUCUAAAUAAAAAUCAUCAUA